GCGAUCAUACCAACGCUAAUGCAUCGGAUUCCAUCAGAACUCUGAAGUUGAGCAUGCUUGUACUAGAGUAUUACUAGGUUGGGUGACCCCCUCAGAAGUCUUCGUGUUGCACCCC
rnacentral:rRNA from 1 species